UAAAUUAAACUAAGGGCAGAUGGUGGAUGCCUAGACUGGUAGAGGCGACGAAGGACGUACUAGGCUGCGAUAAGCCUCGGGUAGCUGCCAAGAAGCUUUGAUCCGAGGAUUUCCGAAUGGGGCAACCCAGCAUAUCGAGAGGUAUGUUACCCUGCGGGGAGCGAACUAGGGGAAGUGAAACAUCUCAGUACCCUAAGGAAAAGAAAUCAACCGAGAUUCCCAAAGUAGCGGCGAGCGAAAUGGGACCAGCCCUAAAAUCUGUAGGGUGUUAGUAGAACAAGCUGGAAAGCUUGACCAUAGAGGGUGAUAGUCCCGUAUAUAAAAACUAACUACAGACUAUUCGAGUAGGUCGGGACACGAGAAACCCUGACUGAAUAUGGGGGGACCACCCUCCAAGGCUAAAUACUACUACCAGAUCGAUAGUGAACCAGUACCGUGAGGGAAAGGUGAAAAGAACCGCGGCAAGCGGAGUGAAAUAGAACCUGAAACCAUCUGCCUACAAUCAUUCAGAGCCCCAUGGAGCAAUCCGGGGUGAUGGACUGCCUUUUGCAUAAUGAGCCUGCGAGUUGUGGUGACUAGCGAGGUUAAGGAUACCCGAAGCCGUAGCGAAAGCGAGUCUUAAUAGGGCGUUUAGUUAGUUGCUGCAGACCCGAAACUAAGUGAUCUAUCCAUGGUCAGGUUGAAGCUGGUGUAAGAGCUAGUGGAGGACCGAACGGGUGAAGGUUUAAAACUUCUCCGAUGAACUGUGGAUAGGGGUGAAAGGCCAAUCAAACUUAGUGAUAGCUGGUUCUCUCCGAAAUAUAUUUAGGUAUAGCGUCAUGUUAGAAGUAUAAGGGGGUAGAGCACUGAUUGGGCUAGGGCGUAUACCAAUGUACCAAACCCAGUCAAACUCCGAAUACCUUAUAUGAAUUCAUGGCAGUCAGGCAUAGGGUGAUAAAAUCCUAGGUCGAAAGGGAAACAGCCCAGACUACCGACUAAGGUCCCAAAGUUCUAUUUAAGUGGAAAAGGAUGUGGAGUUGCUUAGACAACCAGGAGGUUGGCUUAGAAGCAGCCAUCCUUUAAAGAAAGCGUAACAGCUCACUGGUCUAGCGAUUCUGCGCCGAAAAUAUAACGGGGCUAAAAUAGACACCGAAGUCGUAGAUUUGUACUGAUGUACAAGUGGUAGGAGAGCGUUCGUAUCAGCGUUGAAGGUAUACCGGUAAGGAGUGCUGGAGCGAUACGAAGUGAGCAUGCAGGCAUGAGUAGCGAUAAAAGAGGUGAGAAUCCUCUUCGCCGCAAACCCAAGGUUUCCUACACUAUGCUCGUCAUUGUAGGGUUAGUCGGGUCCUAAGCUGAGUCCGAAAGGGGUAAGCGAUGGCAAAUUGGUUAAUAUUCCAAUACUAACAAAUAAGCGCGAUGGGGGGACGCAUAGGGUUAAACGAGCUCACUGAUGGAAUAGUGGGUCGAAGGGCGUAGAUUGGCCGGAUAGGAAAAUCCGCUGGCUGUAUUCGAGACCUGACAGGCUCUUAGAACUCUUCGGAGGGACAAGAGAAUCGUUGAUACCGUCGUGCCAAGAAAAGCCUCUAAGUAUAUUAUUUGUUACCCGUACCGUAAACCGACACAGGUGGGUGAGAUGAGUAUUCUAAGGCGCGUGGAAGAACUCUGGUUAAGGAACUCUGCAAACUAGCACCGUAACUUCGGAAUAAGGUGUGCCUCCUCUUGUAUAGGAACUUGCUUCUAAAAGCGAGAGAGGUUGCAACAAAGAGUCCCUCCCGACUGUUUAUCAAAAACACAGCACUAUGCUAACUCGUAAGAGGAUGUAUAUGGUGUGACGCCUGCCCGGUGCUUGAAGGUUAAUUGAUGGGGUUAGCGCAAGCGAAGCUCUUGAUCGAAGCCCAAGUAAACGGCGGCCGUAACUAUAACGGUCCUAAGGUAGCGAAAUUCCUUGUCGGUUAAAUACCGACCUGCAUGAAUGGCGUAACGAGAUGGGAGCUGUCUCGACCAGAGAUCCAGUGAAAUUGUAGUGGAGGUGAAAAUUCCUCCUACCCGCGGCAAGACGGAAAGACCCCGUGCACCUUUACUAUAGCUUGACACUGCAGUUGGGAUACAUUUGUGCAGGAUAGGUGGGAGGCUUUGAUGUGAUGACGCCAGUUGUCACGGAGCCAUCCUUGAGAUACCACCCUGAUGUAUUCUGAUUGCUAACUUGCCACAGUUAUCCUGUGGGAGGACAAUGUCUGGUGGGUAGUUUGACUGGGGCGGUCGCCUCCUAAAAAGUAACGGAGGCUUACAAAGGUUGGCUCAGAACGGUUGGAAAUCGUUCGUAGAGUAUAAUGGUACAAGCCAGCUUAACUGCGAGACAUACAAGUCGAGCAGAGACGAAAGUCGGUCAUAGUGAUCCGGUGGUUCUGCGUGGAAGGACCAUCGCUCAAAGGAUAAAAGGUACGCCGGGGAUAACAGGCUGAUCUCCCCCAAGAGCUCACAUCGACGGGGAGGUUUGGCACCUCGAUGUCGGCUCAUCGCAUCCUGGGGCUGGAGCAGGUCCCAAGGGUUUGGCUGUUCGCCAAUUAAAGCGGUACGCGAGCUGGGUUCAGAACGUCGUGAGACAGUUCGGUCCCUAUCUGCCGUGGGCGUUGGAUGAUUGAGGAGAGUUGACCCUAGUACGAGAGGACCGGGUUGAACGAACCACUGGUGUACCAGUUGUCCUGCCAAGGGCAUCGCUGGGUAGCUAUGUUCGGAUGUGAUAACCGCUGAAAGCAUCUAAGCGGGAAGCCAACUUCAAGAUGAAUCAUCCCUGAAGAUCCCAUGAAGACUACAUGGUUGAUAGGCUGGGUGUGUAAGUGAUGAAAGUCAUUUAGCUGACCAGUACUAAUAGAUCAUUCGUUUUUAUAGU
rnacentral:rRNA from 1 species